AUUGAACGCUGGCGGCAUGCUUUACACAUGCAAGUCGAACGGUAACAGGGAGCUUGCUCCGCUGACGAGUGGCGAACGGGUGAGUAAUGCGUCGGAACGUGCCGAGUAGUGGGGGAUAACGCAUCGAAAGGUGUGCUAAUACCGCAUACGAACUGAGGUUGAAAGUGGGGGACCUUCGGGCCUCACGCUACUCGAGCGGCCGACGUCUGAUUAGCUAGUUGGUGAGGUAAAGGCUCACCAAGGCGACGAUCAGUAGCGGGUCUGAGAGGAUGAUCCGACACACUGGGACUGAGACACGGCCCAGACUCCUACGGGAGGCAGCAGUGGGGAAUUUUGGACAAUGGGCGCAAGCCUGAUCCAGCCAUGCCGCGUGUCUGAAGAAGGCCUUCGGGUUGUAAAGGACUUUUGUCCGGGAGCAAAUGCUGGUGGCUAACAUCCACCGGAGCUGAGAGUACCGGAAGAAUAAGCACCGGCUAACUACGUGCCAGCCGCCGCAGUAAGAC
rnacentral:rRNA from 1 species